rnacentral:rRNA from 1 species
UGCCAGCAGCCGCGGUAAUACGGGGGGAGCAAGCGUUGUUCGGAUUUACUGGGCGUAAAGGGCGUCUAGGUGGUUAGACAAGUUGAAGGUGAAAGCCCUCCGCUCAACUGAGGAAUUGCCCUCAAAACUAUCUAACUUGAGUAUGGGAGAGGAAAGCAGAAUUCCUGGUGUAGCGGUGAAAUGCGUAGAUAUCAGGAGGAAUACCGGUGGCGAAGGCGACCACCUGGCCAGAUACUGACGCUGAGGUGCGAAAGCGUGGGGAGCAAACAGGAUUAGAUA